rnacentral:lncRNA from 1 species
AGAUCCAGGGCGAACAUCUACCCCGCUGUACAUCGCGUGCUCUCAUCCGAUAGAUUCUGGUUUUGCUGUUGCAGCAUAAGAAGAAAAAACUGUAUAAAUCAGCGCCCUCGUCUAAAAAUCAGCCAUGCCGGUUUUAUCUAUUAGCUGGAAGGGAUGCAGUAGGCUUUCCGCAGCUGGCGUGGCCCUGUUGUUCUUCAGCACGAUGAAGCUGCUGGUCGAGGUUCAUGCUCUGAGCUUGUAUUGGCGUCGCCAGACGUUUUUGACGGAUCCUGUAUUUCUCAUGAUUUUACUAUAAAGAAGAUUUCGUCGACCUGAGUUAGAACCUUCUUAUCUUCAGCGAAAGGUACAAAGCACGGACUAUAUUUUCUUGAGAUGAUGUGUUUGGUAUCUACAGUAGCUAAGUACUUUGGUCGACAGUAGUCAGCUCGUACUACAGUGGAACCUAUGUGUAGUUCAACGCAGCGUAAUCAACUAAUCGUAGCCUUUAGACAUAACCGUGGCAUCCUGUCAAUCUAGCUUUGCUGGACACCACAUUAUCACAUGUAGCCAAGUAGGGGUUGUACGCGUUCUCCAGUAAAAGAGUUGUCGAGUGGGUGCAUUGCUGCUACCAAACAACGACCUAAUAAUAAUAGUGGACGGACGCUAUCUGAAUCUGAUUAGAUCACAUCUAUUGUACAUCUAUUAAUAAUAGUGGACGGACGCUAUCUGAAUCUGAUUAGAUUGCAUAUACUCCCUCCGUUCCUAAAUAAUUGUCUUUUUAGAGAUUUCAACAAGUGAUUACAUACGGAGCAAAAUGAGUGAAUCUACACUCUAAAGCAUGUUUACAUACAUCCGUAUGUUAUAGUCCAUUUAAGAUGGCUAGAAAGACAAUUAUUUGGGAACGGAGGGAGUAUUGUACAUCUAUUCCAUGCACGUACACGCGCUGAAAAGCGGCUUGGGAAAAAAGGGAAGGCAAAAGGGAAGAAGAUGCAUGGCGCGGCGAGCAAGCAAAACCGGGUCCCCUUCCUCCCUCCCAGUCUCCCACGGGAGGAGGCUUGGAAGAAGAGGAAAAGACACGAGCGUGACUGUGUGAUGUGAGUACCUGCUAACCAUCACGCACACCCGGCACACGGAGGAGGACCCUAUCUAUCUACCUAGCCCGCGCCCGCCUCCGUGGCCAUGUAAUUCAGCUGGACCCAGUAUGUUGUCAGUACUAGUGCUUAUAAAGGAUCUAAUUAUGUAUGGCAGUUUCAGUUUAGUGCUUAGGUCCAAGAGAAACAUCUGAUGGAACUUUUGCAGGAAAUAGAAGUUUCCUAAGAAGAAAUGAAUUAGUGACAUUGGUAUUACCAUGCAAUUGGUGUUAUCAAUUAAGAAGAAAGAAAAGGAAAAGGAAUAAAACAAAUAACGAAAAAAAUUGCACACAAUUUACACAGAAAUGACACAUUUUUAUAUUAUGCAAGAAUAAACAUAUAGUAGUGGAUUUUUCGCAAAAAAGAAGUUUGUGAGAAGAAAUAAAUUAGGGACAUUGAUAUUGCCCUUAAAGAAGAAAUGAAGUGCAAAAAACUAAAACAAAUAAAAAUAAUGGCAUUGGUAAUAUUUCGGAAGAAUCAAAACCAUACUAACGAGGUUUUAUAAGGUAGAAUAAAUUAGUGACAUAGGUACUACCUUUCAUAAGAAACAAAAUGAAAAACUAAUUGAAAUAAUCAAGUUUUAAAAGGAAGGCUAAAUUAGUGGCAUUGGUAUUACACUUUAAUUAGAAUGAAAAAUAAAUUUAAAACUAAACAAAAUAACACCAAAAUUUAAACAUGAAUUGCGCUUUGCUAUAAUAUGCAAGAAUAAACAUAUAAUAGUGUAACAUUUGCAAAAGUAGAAUUUUUUCUAAAGAAUGGAUGAAUUAAGCAUUGGUAUUUGAUCCAUGGCGUCCCUACUUCUCCAAUCAAAAUAAUAAUAUUUUCUAAGAACUAAAGAAUUACUGGGAAUGGAAUUACCAUUAAGAAAAAAUAAAACAAUGACAAAACUACAGACAAUUUAUGCAGAAAUAACACUUCUAUAAUAUGAAAGACUAAGCACAUUAUUGUGAAAAUUUCACAAAAAAUGAAGUCGCCUAAGAAGGAAUUAACUAGUGGCAUUAGUAUUAACCUUCAAUAGAAAAAAAUGACAAUAAAACUAAAACUAAAUGAAAAUAAUGAAGUUUUUAAGGAAGAAUGAGCUAAUGGCAUCGGUAUUACAAUUAUGAAGAAAGAAAAGAAAAGAAAAAAUAACAGAAAUAAUGACAAAAUUUGCACAUAGUUUGCACCUAAAUUGCGCUUUUUAAUAAUAUCCAAGAAUAAGCAUAUAAUAGUGAAAUUUUGCAAAAAAAAAA